UGGGGAAUAUUGCACAAUGGGGGAAACCCUGAUGCAGCGACGCCGCGUGAGCGAAGAAGGUUUUCGAAUCGUACAGCUCUGUCCUAUGGGAAGAUAAUGACGGUACCAUAGGAGGAAGCCCCGGCUAACUACGUGCCAGCAGCCGCGGUAAUACGUAGGGGGCAAGCGUUGUCCGGAAUCACUGGGCGUAAAGGGUUCGCAGGCGGAAAUGCAAGUCAGUUGUGAAAGGCAGAGGCUCAACCUCUGUAAGCAAUUGAAACUGUAUUUCUUGAGAUGUGGAGAGGCAAGUGGAAUUCCUAGUGUAGCGGUGAAAUGCGUAGAUAUUAGGAAGAAUACCGGUGGCGAAGGCGACUUGCUGGACACAAACUGACGCUGAGGAACGAAAGCGUGGGUAGCAAACAGG
rnacentral:rRNA from 1 species